rnacentral:rRNA from 1 species
GUAAGCCGGGACCUAAGCUGAGGCCGAAAGGCGUAGGCGAUGGACAACGGGUUGAGAUUCCCGUGCCACCAUCAGUCCGUUUGAAGGAUGGGGUGACGCAGAAGGGUAAGUUAAGCGCGCGAUUGGAAAUGCGCGUCCAAGCCAGUAGGGCGCGAGAUAGGCAAAACCGUCUUGCAUCAAGCCUGAGAGGUGAUGGGGAGGGAAAUUCCAGUACCGAAGUAACUGAUCCCAUGCUGCCAAGAAAAACCUCUAACGAGGACCGAUGGUGCCCGUACCGCAAACCGACACAGGUAGGUAGGGUGAGAAUCCUAAGGCGCGCGAGAGAACCCUCGUUAAGGAACUCGGCAAAUUAACCCCGUAACUUUGGAAGAAGGGGUGCCCCGUUAGCGUGAUAAUUUAACUAUUGGAGCGCGAGGGGGUCGCAGUGACCAGGCCCAGGCGACUGUUUAACAAAAACACAGGUCCCUGCUAAAUCGCAAGAUGAAGUAUAGGGGCUGACGCCUGCCCAGUGCCGGAAG